rnacentral:rRNA from 1 species
GGAUCAAUUUAUUGGUCGUGCUAUUGUACGUACUGGUAUUAUUGAUUCCUACCUUCUGACGAACCAUGAUGUCAUUAAUUUGGUGUCAUGGGGAAUCAGGACUGUUACUUUGAAAAUUAAAUGAGUGUUUAAAGCAUAGGCGUCACGCUUGAAUACAUUAGCAUGGAAUAACGAAAUAGGACGUUUGAUUCUAUUUUGUUGGUUUCUAGGAUCGACGUAAUGAUUAAUAGGGAUAGUUGGGC